rnacentral:rRNA from 1 species
AGGACGAACGCUGGCGGCGUGCCUAACACAUGCAAGUCGAGCGGACUUAUCUGAAGAGCUUGCUCAGAGGAUAAGUUAGCGGCGGACGGGUGAGUAACGCGUGAGCAACCUGUCCUUUGCAGAGGGAUAAGAUCGCGAAAGUGGUUCUAAUACCUCAUGAGACCACGCCCGGGCAUCCGGGAGGGGUCAAAGGAGCAAUCCGGCGAAGGGUGGGCUCGCGUCCGAUUAGAUAGUUGGUGAGGUAACGGCCCACCAAGUCGACGAUCGGUAGCCGACCUAAGAGGGUGAUCGGCCACAUUGGGACUGAGACACGGCCCAGACUCCUACGGGAGGCAGCAGUGGGGAAUAUUGGGCAAUGGGCGAAAGCCCUGACCCAGCAACGCCGCGUGGAGGAAGAAGGUCUUCGGAUCGUAAACUCCUGUCCUAAGGGAAGAGAAGAAGACUGUACCUUAGGAGGAAGCCCCGGCUAACUACGUGCCAGCAGCCGC